CGCCUAUUGAGGCGGGUGUAC
rnacentral:siRNA from 1 species